CAAUAGCGUGUGUUAAAGUUGUUGCAGUUAAAAAGCUCGUAGUUGGAUUUCUGGUGGGAGCGAUCGGUCUGGCGCUUAGCGCGAGUACUUGCAUCGUCUCCGGCCAUCCUUGGGGAGAGUCUGUCUGGCAUUAGGUUGUCGGGCAGAGGAUCCUCAUCGUUUACUGUGAAAAAAUUAGAGUGUUCAAAGCAGGCUUAUGCCGUUGAAUACAUUAGCAUGGAAUAAUAAGAUAGGACUUUGGCACUAUUUUGUUGGUUUGCGCACCAAAGUAAUGAUUAAUAGGGACAGUUGGGGGUAUUCGUAUUCCGUUGUCAGAGGUGAAAUUCUUGGAUUUACGGAAGACGAACUACUGCGAAAGCAUUUACCAAGGAUGUUUUCAUUA
rnacentral:rRNA from 1 species